rnacentral:rRNA from 1 species
UACGGAAGGCAGCAGUGGGGAAUAUUGCACAAUGGGCGCAAGCCUGAUGCAGCCAUGCCGCGUGUAUGAAAAAGGCCUUCGGGUUGUAAAGUACUUUCAGUCGUGAGGAAGGUGUUAAGGUUAAUAACCUUAGCAAUUGACGUUAGCGACAGAAGAAGCACCGGCUAACUCCGUGCCAGCAGCCGCGGUAAUACGGAGGGUGCGAGCGUUAAUCGGAAUUACUGGGCGUAAAGGGCACGCAGGCGGUUAAUUAAGUUGGAUGUGAAAUCCCCGGGCUUAACCUGGGAAUGGCAUUCAAGCUGGUUAGCUAGAGUCUUGUAGAGGGGGUAGAAUUCCAUGUGUAGCGGUGAAAUGCGUAGAGAUGUGGAGGAAUACCGGUGGCGAAGGCGGGCCCCUGGACAAAGACUGACGCUCAUGUGCGAAAGCGUGGGGAGCAAACGAGGGAUUAGAUACC